rnacentral:rRNA from 1 species
AUUGAACGCUGGCGGCAGGCCUAACACAUGCAAGUCGAACGGUAGCACAGAGAGCUUGCCCUCGGGUGACGAGUGGCGGACGGGUGAGUAAUGUCUGGGAAACUGCCCGAUGGAGGGGGAUAACUACUGGAAACGGUAGCUAAUACCGCAUAACGUCGCAAGACCAAAGUGGGGGACCUUCGGGCCUCACACCAUCGGAUGUGCCCAGAUGGGAUUAGCUAGUAGGUGGGGUAAUGGCUCACCUAGGCGACGAUCCCUAGCUGGUCUGAGAGGAUGACCAGCCACACUGGAACUGAGACACGGUCCAGACGCCUACGGGAGGCAGCAGUGGGGAAUAUUGCACAAUGGGCGCAAGCCUGAUGCAGCCAUGCAGCGUGUAUGAAGAAGGCCUUCGGGUUGUAAAGUACUUUCAGCGGGGAGGAAGGCGGUGAAGUUAAUAGCUUAACCGAUUGACGUUACCCGCAGAAGAAGCACCGGCUAACUCCGUGCCAGCCGCCGCCGUAA